UGAGGAAUAUUGGGCAAUGCCCGCAAGGGUGACCCAGCAACGCCGCGUGGAGGAUGAAUGUCGUAAGAUUGUAAACUCCUGUUAGAGGGGAAGUAUAGUACCGGUUGGACCGGUAUAUGACUGUACCCUCAGAGAAAGCCCCGGCUAACUACGUGCCAGCAGCCGCGGUAAUACGUAGGGGGCAAGCGUUGUCCGGAUUUACUGGGUGUAAAGGGCGCGCAGGCGGGAUAAAAAGUCAGUGGUGAAAUCCUACAGCUUAACUGUAGAACUGCCUUUGAUACUUUUAUUCUUGAGUUCGGGAGAGAGACGGAAUUCCAGGUGUAGUGGUGAAAUACGUAGAUAUCUGGAAGAACACCAGUUUCGAAGGCGGUCUCUUGGUCCGACACUGACGCUGAGGCGCGAAAGCGUGGGGAGCAAACA
rnacentral:rRNA from 1 species